UGGGGAAUAUUGCACAAUGGAGGGAACUCUGAUGCAGCGACGCCGCGUGAACGAAGAAGGCUUUCGAGUCGUAAAGUUCUUUUAUAUGGGAAGAUAAUGACGGUACCAUAAGAAAAAGCCCCGGCUAACUACGUGCCAGCAGCCGCGGUAAUACGUAGGGGGCUAGCGUUGUCCGGAAUCACUGGGCGUAAAGGGUUCGCAGGCGGAAAUGCAAGUCAGGUGUAAAAGGCAGUAGCUUAACUACUGUAAGCAUUUGAAACUGCAUAUCUUGAGAAGAGUAGAGGUAAGUGGAAUUUUUAGUGUAGCGGUGAAAUGCGUAGAUAUUAAAAAGAAUACCGGUGGCGAAGGCGGCUUACUGGGCUCAUUCUGACGCUGAGGAACAAAAGCGUGGGUAGCAAACAGG
rnacentral:rRNA from 1 species